rnacentral:lncRNA from 10 species
AGGUCUCCUGCUGCUCCUGUGAACUAUAUAGAAUGCACUAAUCUCCACGGGCAUUUUACUUCUCCGUUUUGCCUGUGCUGACUAACUCCAUGGAACAAUUUGCAAGUGAUACCAAAGGUAUGAAUUAGUUGUGUAGAAGAAACUAGAGUCCAGAUGUUAACCCUCAGUUUUAUGUACACCAUAGUUCUCCAUACAAGGAAGAUAAUAUAAGGAACCUUGAAGAAAUAUCCUCACAAGUGAGCUUCCCGUGGGCCUGCUGGUGCUUCUGCAGACAUCCCUCCCUUCAAACUUGAGUGCCCAGACAGGACUGAGCAGGUGUGAACAAGAAAGACUGCUCAAGUGCAGAUCUCAAGUUACCCUGUGCCCUGGAUGAGGAGAUGGGUGGAGGAAAGUGAUAAGAACAUCUGAACAGUGUGGCUCCCUAAAUGUCACUGGGCUUUAUGUGAUUAAGUUUCCCCCACACUCUGGAAACUUCAGGGAUUGACAGGCAAUGACUGCAGCGUGCACCCUGCAAUUUAAACACAACACAACAGAAAGGAGGAUUCCAAAGCAGACAAAAUGCCAAAGAAAAUUGCCCUGUGAGAAGGCACUCUCUAUAUCCUUAGAGUCAGCAUGAAAACAAAAGUGCCCAUUUCUUUUUCAUGCCACCCAGCUCUGCCUUACUUGUCAUCUACAAUGCAGAAAUGUGGAAAAAAAAAAAAAAAAACGAAGCUAUUUUCUGGGGAUUCAGAGAAUUCCCUACCUACCUAAUGACUGCCCUCUAAAACAUUCAAUUGUAAGACUUGAACAGUAGAGAAAAAUGUUUUUCUAAGGGGAAUCUGUCUUCUGAUUAUAGAUACAGACAGUCCCUCAUUCCAUUUCUUUGUGGCUGCUCUCUAUGGGUUUACAUUAGCCAGGUCUUCGAUUCAUAGUUAGUUCAUCACAGCUGAUUGUCCCUGUUCUGUUCAGAUAACUUAGAUAAACAGAAUGCACUGCUUAAGUGCACAUGUGAUUGGACAUAAGCAAAAGGAAACUUUUAAAAAACUGUAAGUCAAAUUCAAGUUUUGUAAAUGUAUUUUAAGAGAGUGUUGAAUGAAAGGUCGACAAAAAGUUUAUAAAGAUUAUUUUAGGGUGACAAGAUUAUUGGUUAUAUGUGGUUAUUUUUCCUUUUCUUAUAUGUUUCUGUAUUUUCUGCAGUAAGCACAUCUUUGUCAUUUUUAAUGUAAUAAAUUUUUUAAAGAACAAUGUUAUUUUUGGUCUGAUGUUAAGUACAUGCCUAUGAAAACUCAACUGAAUUAUUGUUACUGUUCUAUUUCCUUAUAAUCUUCGUCAAUCCCCAACUGGCUCACAUUUUUCUGGCUAUUGGGGUCUCUAUUGUGGAUUCUUAACUUCCUACAUCUUUUUCCACUUGAUAUCUUUGAUAAAUACAGGCGAUUUUUAAGAAGAUGUUGGGGUCAGUAGCAUAAUCUGUUGAUUUAAAACAGUGAUUAGGCAAUGGAAUGAAGUCCAAUGAGAGAUAUGUUCAUUCAGAAUUUUCCUUUACAUGAAUUUUUUAUUGCAGUAUAAUAUACUUACAGAAGAGUACAAAUAAAUGUACAGCUAAAUCACAAAGUGAACUCACCUAUGUAAUUGACACUUGAGUUGUGAAAUAGACCAUGUCCAAUACCCAAAGGCCUUCGACAUGCCUGCUCCAAUUCCCAGCUCCUGCCUCCUCCCCAAAAUUAACCACUAUCCUAAUCUCUAACGCCACAGGCCAGGAUUGCGUAUUUCUAAACUUUAUAUAAAUUAAUCAGUAUCUAUUUUUGUGUGUCUAGCUUAUUUCAUGCAACAUAAUGUUUGUCAAGUUCGUCUGUGUUGUAACAGUAGUUCCUUUUUCAUUUUCAUUGUUUUAUAAUGUCUCUUUGUACACCUACAGCACAGUUUAUUCUACUGUUGGUGGAUAUCUGGAUUGUCUCCAAUUUGGAGCUGUUAUAAAUCAUGCCACUAUGAACAUUUUAUAUGAUUUUUAGAGGACCAUAUGUAUGCUUCUGUUGCCAACUUCUGUUGCCCAAUUUAUACCUGGGUGUGAAUUAUUGGGUCAUAGGGGCAUGUGAAUGUUCAGUCCACGUAGACAUUGCCAAACAGUAUUUUAAAGCAUUGUACCAAUUCAUACUCUCACCAGUUCUAUAAGAAAGUUCCAGUUGCUCUACCUCUUACCAACUGUUGAUAUUUCCAACUUUUUAAUGUUCGCCAUUUUAUCAGGUAUGUAGUAUAUGGUUGUGAUUUAAAUUUGCAUUUCUAUGUUGAAUUAUAAUGGGAUUGUUAACCUUUUCAUAUGUUUCUUGGCUAUUUUGGUGAUCCUCUUUUAUGAACAGUGCCUGUUCAAGUAUUUUGC